UGAAGAAUUGUGAAGGGGAUGAAGCGUUAUUUAUAAGCAGAAAUUUAGUGUAUGGAGUGAUAGAUACCGAACUUAAUUGAGAGAGAGUUGUUUGAGGUGUAAAUGUGGGUGUUAGUUGCAUGAAGCUUUUACAUUUAGGGUGCGUUCUCUUUGGUUGUAAAUUUAUCAUGAGAAAAUGAGGGACAAACAAAAUUUUAUCCUUUAAAUCCUUCCUUUCUUUUCUCUCAUUUCCUAUUUGACCCUUACUCGUUCCUCAUUUUCACUACAAAUGAGGGAUAAUAUUAUCCCUCCAAAAAUGAUGUGAUAAUAUUAUCCCCCAUUUGUAGUGAAAAACUGUCUAUAACAUUUUUUAAUAAAUGUACAAUGAAACAUAUGUGUGGGGUCAUGGUGAUCGUGCUCGUUUGAUUUCUCUGCGAUGGUAUCCCUUCUCCAUUGGUGUCGAGCUUGUUUGAUGAUCAGCUGAACUGUCAUUGUGGAGCUGGUGAUGGGCGUUUUGGCCCUCUUUACUUAUUUUAUUUCGUCACUUGUUGGUCGCACAAGUUUACGUUUCUUUUUUGUUUCUUUGCGGUGCGGGGGGUCCGGGAUUGCUUAGGGGCAAUGGUUAGGCCGGAGUUCCUGAAGUUCUCCUCCCCCCCUCCCACGUUGCCGGUUUGGUUGCUUUGCUUAUGUUUUUUGUGGUUUGUAGACGAGUACUCUUUUUCCUUGUUAUGACUUUUCCCAUGAGGUUUUCCAUAACAAAGUUUUAAUGAGGCUCGGCCCUUAGUAUGCUUUGUUGUGCAUUCAGGGGUUCUUUCUAGGUCUUUUUUUCUUUUUUUUUCCUCUAUAAAAUCGUAUUUUAACAAUGAAACAUAUGUGUUCUAAGUAACGUGCAUUGGUUUUGAUUAUGC
rnacentral:lncRNA from 1 species